rnacentral:rRNA from 1 species
CUGGCUCAGGACGAACGCUGGCGGCGUGCCUAAUACAUGCAAGUAGAACGCUGAAGGAGGAGCUUGCUCUUUCCGGAUGAGUUGCGAACGGGUGAGUAACGCGUAGGUAACCUGCCUGGUAGCGGGGGAUAACUAUUGGAAACGAUAGCUAAUACCGCAUGACAACAGUUAUUGCAUGAUAGCUGUUUAAAAGGGGCAACUGCUCCACUACCAGAUGGACCUGCGUUGUAUUAGCUAGUUGGUGAGGUAACGGCUCACCAAGGCGACGAUACAUAGCCGACCUGAGAGGGUGAUCGGCCACACUGGGACUGAGACACGGCCCAGACUCCUACGGGAGGCAGCAGUAGGGAAUCUUCGGCAAUGGACGGAAGUCUGACCGAGCAACGCCGCGUGAGUGAAGAAGGUUUUCGGAUCGUAAAGCUCUGUUGUAAGAGAAGAACGAGUGUGAGAGUGGAAAGUUCACACUGUGACGGUAUCUUACCAGAAAGGGACGGCUAACUACGUGCCAGCAGCCGCGGUAAUACGUAGGUCCCGAGCGUUGUCCGGAUUUAUUGGGCGUAAAGCGAGCGCAGGCGGUUAGAUAAGUCUGAAGUUAAAGGCUGUGGCUUAACCAUAGUACGCUUUGGAAACUGUUUAACUUGAGUGCAAGAGGGGAGAGUGGAAUUCCAUGUGUAGCGGUGAAAUGCGUAGAUAUAUGGAGGAACACCGGUGGCGAAAGCGGCUCUCUGGCUUGUAACUGACGCUGAGGAGCGAAAGCAUGGGUAGCGAACAGGAUUAGAUACCUGUAG